rnacentral:rRNA from 1 species
GACAGAGGGUGCGAACGUUGUUCGGAAUUACUGGGCGUAAAGCGCGUGUAGGCGGCAACGUGUGUCGGGCGUGAAAUCCCACGGCUCAACCGUGGAAGUGCACUCGAAACUGCGUAGCUAGAGUCCUGGAGAGGAAGGUGGAAUGCUUGGUGUAGAGGUGAAAUUCGUAGAUAUCAAGCGGAACACCGGUGGCGAAGGCGCCUUCUGGACAGUGACUGACGCUGAGACGCGAAAGCGUGGGGAGCAAACAGG